UAAGUUAAGUGAACAAGGGCAUACGGCGGAUGCCUUGGCGCCAAGAGCCGAUGAAGGACGCGGUAAGCUGCGAAAAGGCAUGGGUAGGAGCAAGCAUCCUGUGAUCCAUGCAUAUCCGAAUGGGGCAACCCACCAUCAGUCAUGUGAUGGUACGAAAGAGGCAGACCUGGGGAACUGAAACAUCUAAGUACCCAGAGGAAAAGUAAUCAAUUGAGAUUCCCUAAGUAGCGGCGAGCGAAAGGGGAAGAGCCCAAACCAUGAAACUUCGGUUUUGUGGGGUUGAGGACCGGCAAAAAGAGGAAACUUCUUAGUCGAAUGGUUUGGAAAGGCCAUGCACAGA
rnacentral:rRNA from 1 species